rnacentral:snRNA from 1 species
AGCUUUGCGCAGUGGCAGUAUCGUAGCCAAUGAGGUUUAUCCGAGGCGCGAUUAUUGCUAAUUGAAACUAAAAAAAUAAAGUAUAUUAAUAAAUCAAAAUUUUAAAGACAUUCAAGGAUC